rnacentral:rRNA from 1 species
GGUCCCGCCUGCCCUGUGACCCCUCUAGUUUAACGGCCGCGGUAUUUUGACCGUGCAAAGGUAGCGCAAUCACUUGUCCCUUAAAUGAGGACCUGUAUGAAUGGCAUGACGAGGGCUUAACUGUCUCCUUUUCCCAGCCAAUGAAAUUGAUCUUCCCGUGCAGAAGCGGGAAUAUUAACAUAAGACGAGAAGACCCUAUGGAGCUUUAGACAUCGGCACAGACCAUAUUAACUACCCCUUAAAAUAAGUAGCAUUUACUGGGCUCUGUCCCCGUCUUUGGUUGGGGCGACCACGGGGAACAAAAAAACCCCCACGUGGACAGAGAGAACAUCCCUCCCACAACCACGAGCCACAGCUCUAAACUACAGAACUUCUGACCAAUAAAGAUCCGGCAAUGCCGAUCAACGGACCCAGUUACCCUAGGGAUAACAGCGCAAUCCUCUUUAAGAGUCCAUAUCGACAAGAGGGUUUACGACCUCGAUGUUGGAUCAAGACAUCCUAAUGGUGCAACCGCUAUUAAGGGUUCGUUUGUUCAACGAUUAAAGUCUU